GGCGGACGGGUGAGUAACACGUGGAUAACCUACCUAUAAGACUGGGAUAACUUCGGGAAACCGGAGCUAAUACCGGAUAAUAUUUUGAACCGCAUGGUUCAAAAGUGUAAGACGGUCUUGCUGUCACUUAUAGAUGGAUCCGCGCUGCAUUAGCUAGUUGGUAAGGUAACGGCUUACCAAGGCAACGAUGCAUAGCCGACCUGAGAGGGUGAUCGGCCACACUGGAACUGAGACACGGUCCAG
rnacentral:rRNA from 1 species